rnacentral:rRNA from 1 species
CGGACGGGUGAGUAACACGUGGAUAACCUACCUAUAAGACUGGGAUAACUUCGGGAAACCGGAGCUAAUACCGGAUAAUAUAUUGAACCGCAUGGUUCAAUAGCGAAAGACGGUUUUGCUGUCACUUAUAGAUGGAUCCGCGCCGCAUUAGCUAGUUGGUAAGGUAACGGCUUACCAAGGCAACGAUGCGUAGCCGACCUGAGAGGGUGAUCGGCCACACUGGAACUGAGACACGGUCCAG